rnacentral:rRNA from 1 species
ACGGCUCAGUAACACGUGGACAACCUACCCUGAGGUCGGGGAUAAACCCGGGAAACUGGGUAUAAUACCCGAUAGAUCUAGAUCGCUGGAAUGCUUUUAGGUCUAAAGUUCCGACGCCUCAGGAUGGGUCUGCGGCCUAUCAGGGUAGUAGUGGGUGUAAAGUACCUACUAGCCUACGACGGGUACGGGUUGUGAGAGCAAGAGCCCGGAGAUGGAUUCUGAGACACGAAUCCAGGCCCUACGGGGUGCAGCAGGCGCGAAACCUUUACAAUGCUGGCAACAGCGAUAAGGGGACCUCGAGUGCUACGAUACAAUCGUGGCUGUCUAGUUGCCUAAAAAGCAAUUGAUAGCAAGGGCCGGGCAAGACCGGUGCCAGCCGCCGCGGUAACACCGGCGGCUCGAGUGGUAACCGCUAUUAUUGGGUCUAAAGGGUCUGUAGCCGGCUUAGUUAGUCUCUUGAGAAAUCUGGCCGCUCAACGGUCAGGCGUUCAGGGGAUACUGCUAAAGCUCGAGACCGGGAGGGGUGAGAGGUACUUCAGGGGUAGGGGUGAAAUCUUGUAAUCCUUGAAGGACCACCAGUGGCGAAGGCGUCUCACCAGAACGGAUCUGACGGCAAGGGACGAAAGCUAGGGGCACGAACCGGAUUAGAUACCCGGGUAGUCCUAGCCGUAAACGAUACUCGCUAGGUGUCAGCCACGGUGCGACCGUGGUCGGUGCCGUAGGGAAGCCGUGAAGCGAGCCACCUGGGAAGUACGGCCGCAAGGCUGAAACUUAAAGGAAUUGGCGGGGGAGCAC